rnacentral:tRNA from 1 species
GCGGGUGUGGCGGAAUAGGCAGACGCAGCAGACUCAAAAUCUGCCGGUGGCAACACCGUGGGGGUUCGACUCCCUUCAUCCGCA